CUACGGGAGGCUGCAGUGAGGAAUAUUGCACAAUGGGGGGAACCCUGAUGCAGCAACGCCGCGUGGAGGAUGACGCAUUUCGGUGUGUAAACUCCUUUUAUAUGUCAAGAAAAUGACGGUAGCAUAUGAAUAAGCGCCGGCUAACUCCGUGCCGGCAGCCGCGGUAAUACGGAGGGCGCAAGCGUUACUCGGAAUCACUGGGCGUAAAGGACGCGUAGGCGGGUUGAAAAGUCAGGUGUGAAAGCCUACAGCUUAACUGUAGAACUGCACUUGAAACUCUCAAUCUAGAGUAUGGGAGGGGCAGAUGGAAUUAGUGGUGUAGGGGUAAAAUCCGUAGAUAUCACUAGGAAUACCUAAAGCGAAGGCGAUCUGCUGGAACAUUACUGACGCUAAGGCGUGAAAGCGUGGGGAGCAAACAGGAUUAGAUACCCGAGUAGUC
rnacentral:rRNA from 1 species